GACGAACGCUGGCGGCGUGCUUAACACAUGCAAGUCGAACGAUGAAGCCUAGCUUGCUUGGUGGAUUAGUGGCGAACGGGUGAGUAAUACGUGAGUAACCUACCGUUAACUCUGGGAUAAGCCUGGGAAACUGGAUCUAAUACCGGAUACGACCAAUCUCCGCAUGGGGUGUUGGGGGAUAGUGUAACGUAGGGGUUAUAGAUGGGCACACGGCGCAUCAGCGUGUUGGUGAGGUAACGGAUCACCAAGGCGACGACGGGUAGACGGCAUGAGAGGGUGACGGGACACACGGGGACAGAGCCACGGCCCACACUCCUAGGGGAAGCAGCAGUGGCGAAGAUUGCACAAUGGUCGAAAGCCGGAUGAAGCAACGCCGCGUGAGGGAUGACGGACAACGGGUUGUAAACGUCUGUUAGCGGAAAAGAAGAAAGAUUGUCGGUACCAGCAGAAAAAGCGGCAGCUAACUACGUG
rnacentral:rRNA from 1 species